rnacentral:rRNA from 1 species
GGAUGCGAUCAUACCAGCACUAAAGCACCGGAUCCCAUCAGAACUCCGAAGUUAAGCGUGCUUGGAUGAGAGUAGUACUAGGAUGGGUGACCUCCUGGGAAGUCCUCGUGUUGCAUUCC